AGCCCUGAGGUGUGCAUCAUGUUAGAUUGCAAAUCUAAAGAAGCAGGGUAACGCCUGCCGGGGCUU
rnacentral:tRNA from 1 species